rnacentral:pre_miRNA from 1 species
UGAUGAUGAUAAUGAUGAUGACGAUCAUGAUGCCGAUGAUGAUGAUAAUCAUCUCAUCAUCAUCAUCAUCAUCAUCAUCAUCAGCAUCAGCA